UCAUAGCGACUAUCGUGGCAUAUCAAUAAGCGGAGGAAAAGAAACUAACAAGGAUUCCCUUAGUAACGGCGAGUGAAGCGGGAAGAGCUCAAAUUUGAAAUCUUCAAGGUUUUACCUUGACGAAUUGUAGUUUAAAGAAGUGUUUUCUGUUGAAGUUUUGGUAAAAGUUCUUUGGAAUAGGACAUCAUAGAGGGUGAGAAUCCCGUAUUUGACCAUUAUUUUCAGCUGUGUGAUACACUUUCAAAGAGUCGGAUUGUUUGGGAAUGCAGUCCAAAAUGGGUGGUAAAUUUCAUCUAAAGCUAAAUAUUGGCGAGAGACCGAUAGCGAACAAGUACCGUGAGGGAAAGAUGAAAAGAACUUUGAAAAGAGAGUUAAACAGUACGUGAAAUUGUCAAAAGGGAAGCGUUUGACACCAGUGUUGUUUUCUCGAAAAUCAAUUAAAAAAGGCCGGAUUUUGUGUUGUAUUGACCUUAAAAGCUUUCUUCACUCUUUUCUUGUCUUUUUUAAUGCACUUUUCGUUUAACAAGUCAACAUCAGUUUCUUUUGUUGUAAAAGGGUCAUUGGAAGGUGGCUUUCUUUUCGGAGAAAGUGUUUAUAGCCUUUGAUCUCUGCAACCGGAGAGACUGAGGUCUGCAGCGUAGACUCUUCGGGGUUAGAUACAUUUGUGCUAAGCUAUAGCUUUUAUAGACAACUUGUUGACUAUAGUUUAGUCUUGUGGCUUACUCGCUUAUGCUAUUUUACCUACGCUUAGGAUGUUGACGAGACUGUCGAUCUC
rnacentral:rRNA from 1 species